rnacentral:tRNA from 5 species
GCCGGAAUAGCUCAGUUGGUAGAGCAGAGGACUGAAAAUCCUCGUGUCACCAGUCA